UACGUAGGGUGCAAGCGUUAAUCGGAAUUACUGGGCGUAAAGCGUGCGCAGGCGGUUUUGUAAGACAGAGGUGAAAUCCCCGGGCUCAACCUGGGAACUGCCUUUGUGACUGCAAGGCUUGAGUGCGGCAGAGGGGGAUGGAAUUCCGCGUGUAGCAGUGAAAUGCGUAGAUAUGCGGAGGAACACCGAUGGCGAAGGCAAUCCCGUGGCUGCACUGACGCUCAUGCACGAAAGCGUGGGGAGCAAACAGG
rnacentral:rRNA from 1 species